AUGAUGGCCAUGAUGUCACUCCUCUCCUCGUUCCUUUUGGAUGAUGAUAUUGGUUAUAUACAGGUAAUGGCAGUUUGGGGAGGUCAUCACACAAAUUUGGCGAGUGCUGAAGGGAUAGUAAUCUCAAGUUCGGAAACUGCGCUUACUGAGUAUUGGCAAACAAUGGUUCCCAACUCUCCCAUGCCACUUGCCAUACUUGAGCUCCUUCUCACAUCUACCGGUCAUGAUGAUCACAUGGGCAAACAAGACACCAACAACAUCCACACACCAAAUAAAUGGACCGGAGAGAAAUACGUUGGGGCAUCCCUUCUCAAAUCACGAAAAAAUGGUCUACAUCCUACCAUUGAUGCAAAUGCAAGAACAGAAACCGACAACCAGAAGAAUCAAAUUUGGUUUUAUGGAUGGGGCCCACAGAAAAUCAACAACGAGAAGACCAUUAAAGGUUUAGUAAGGGAGCCGGUGAAAGAUAUCUACGACAAGAAGAAAGAAGUUUGGUUUUAUGGGUGGGGCCCACUAAAAAUUAGCGACGAGAAGACAAGAAAUGAAUUAGUAAGGGAACCAAUCAGAAAAAUCUACGAUAAGAAGAAUCAAAUUUGGUUUUAUGGAUGGGGCCCACAAAAAAUCAAAAAUGAGAAGAACAUGAGAGGUUUGGUAAGGGAGCAGGUGAAAAAUAUCCACGACAAGAAAAAACAAGUUUGGUUUUAUGGAUGGGGCCAACUAAACAUUAGCGACAAGAAGACAAGAAAAGAAUUAGUAAGGGAACCGGUCAGAAAAAUAUACGAUAAGAAGAAUCAAAUUUGGUUUUAUGGAUGGGGCCAAGUACAAAACAGCAAUGAGAAGAUGGCGAAACAUUUGGUAAUGGAACCGGUCAAACAAGUCUAUGAAGAGAAGAAUCAAUUUCGGGGUCCACAAGCCAAGGAUGACGGUGCCCGCGAGUCAGGCAUGCAAGAAGAUGAUGGGCACCAAGGAGGAAGCCAUAUCCAUGGAGAAUCUACUGUGUCAAACAUCAUCUUCUUCGAAGAAUCCCUUAAACCGGGAUCCACGAUCACACCCUACAUCCAACCAUCAGCUACAUCAGGCGCUCCCUUGCUGCAACGUGACGUCGCCAACACCAUACCCAUGUCCACGGAGAACUUCACUGAUAUCCUGGCGAUGUUCGCACCGGUGUCCAGCGCCAUGGCCGACGACGUGUGGGUGAUGCUGGAUCUGUGCGAGCGCCCCAGCCUAGUCAAGGGCGAGAAGAAGACAUGCGCUACCUCCGUGGAGUCAAUGGUAGAGUUCGCCGCGUCCGUGCUCACUGGAGGCAACACUCGUGGCCUCCGCGCUUUCUCCUCCCCAGACGUGCCUGCAGAGGGUGUCACGUCGAGCAGGAAGUAUAAGGUGGUGGCGGCGCGGAGGGCCACAGAGUCGAGCAAGACCAUGACAUGCCACGGGAUGAGCUUCCCCUUCGUGGUGUUCAUGUGCCACGCGGUGAACCCUACCAGGACGUACGAGGUGACGCUCGAGAGCGAGGACCUCACAUCGAGGAUGGUGCUGCUUGCCGUGUGCCACCUCGACACGUCUGAGUUCGACCCCAUGAAGAUGCCUGGACACGCCAAGCCAGGGGAUGCUCCGGCUUGCCACUUCAUCCCCAGGGACAGCGUCCUCUGGGCUCCGGUUGCACCCGCCGCCGCCACCGCUGCUUAA
rnacentral:rRNA from 1 species